UGAACGCUGGCGGCGUGCCUAAUACAUGCAAGUCGAGCGAACGGACGAGAAGCUUGCUUCUCUGAUGUUAGCGGCGGACGGGUGAGUAACACGUGGAUAACCUACCUAUAAGACUGGGAUAACUUCGGGAAACCGGAGCUAAUACCGGAUAAUAUUUUGAACCGCAUGGUUCAAAAGUGAAAGACGGUCUUGCUGUCACUUAUAGAUGGAUCCGCGCUGCAUUAGCUAGUUGGUAAGGUAACGGCUUACCAAGGCAACGAUGCAUAGCCGACCUGAGAGGGGGGCCGGCCACCGGAGAACUGAGACCCGGCCCAGCCCCUGGGGGGAGGCACAGGGGGGGAACCUCCCCAAGGGGGCGAAACCCGGAGGAACCACCCCGGGGUGGGUAAGAAAGGUUUGCGUUUCUAAAACCCUUUUUAUGGGGAAAAAAAAGUUGUGAACGAACUUGUACAUAUUUGGAGGGUCCCUAACAAAAAGACCCCGGCAACCUCCGUC
rnacentral:rRNA from 1 species